AGAGUUUGAUCAUGGCUCAGGAUAAACGCUGGCGGCGUGCUUCAGGCAUGCAAGUCGAACGGACCUUCGGGUCAGUGGCGGACGGGUGAGUAACACGUAAGUAACCUGCCCAGAAGUGGGGAAUAACUAGUCGAAAGAUUGGCUAAUACCGCAUGUGAUGGCUUUUCCCUGGAGAGGUCAUUAAAGGAUUUAUUCGCUUCUGGAGGGGCUUGCGGCCGAUUAGCUUGUUGGUGGGGUAACGGCCUACCAAGGCGACGAUCGGUAGCUGGUCUGAGAGGACGGUCAGCCACACGGGGACUGAGAUACGGCCCCGACUCCUACGGGAGGCAGCAGCUAGGAAUCUUGGGAAUGGGCGAAAGCCUGACCCAGCAACGCCGCGUGGGCGAUGAAGGCCUUCGGGUCGUAAAGCCCUUUUGUAGGGGAAGAUUAUGACGGUACCCUGCGAAUAGC
rnacentral:rRNA from 1 species